UACGAGGGGGGCGAGCGUUGUUCGGAAUUAUUGGGCGUAAAGGGUGCGUAGGCGGUUUGGUAAGUCUCUUGUGAAAUCUAUGGGCUCAACUCAUAGUCUGCAGGGGAAACUGCCGGGCUUGAGUGUGGGAGAGGUGAGUGGAAUUUCCGGUGUAGCGGUGAAAUGCGUAGAUAUCGGAAGGAACACCUGUGGCGAAAGCGGCUCACUGGACCACAACUGACGCUGAUGCACGAAAGCUAGGGGAGCAAACAGG
rnacentral:rRNA from 1 species